AAGAAAGUCAUUGUCUCUAGUUUGAUGUUUGUCAUGUGAGAAAUGUGAAAUGAGCGGAGCGCAAGAAUCUUUCGCAACACGACUUCACCGACGACCAUUAUUGUUGUUAAAAUCAAAGAGAAGGCUCAUUUUAGAGCGUUGGCGGGAGUCAAACACCUAAGUGCACUUAUGCCGCGAGAGUCGUCUUUUAUUUUUGCCGCUUUGCAGCUUUUGUCUAAACCUUCUUUUAAUUAA
rnacentral:rRNA from 1 species